GGAUUGUGUCUCAGUGGUAGAGUACUUGCCUAGCAUGUGUGAGGCACUGGGUUCAAGUCUCAGCACCA
rnacentral:tRNA from 1 species